AUACUUAGGUAUGUAGGUAUAUUUAAUUGAGCAAUUUCUUAACUAUAGUUAGAGUAGGUGUAUAUUACAUAAAAAAAUAAAUACUUUCACAUGUUAUAAAAUAAGAUAGUUUUAUGAAGUUUUUGCCUCUUACUAACCAUUUUCAUUAAAGAUGAUGUUAAUAUUUUACUAUAUGAAUUUAAUCGUAUGUUCAAAUAUGUAUGGGAAAUUAGGUUUAUUAAUUUUAUCUUAUGUGGUCUUGCAUGUAUGUCCGUUACAUACCAACAAUCUAUUGUUUCAGGAAAAAGAGUUGACGAUAGUGCUAAAGUAUUUUGAACCCAGAGAAUUAUUUUAGUAUCUAUAUUCUUAGAUAACAAUUGUUGCUUAUCAGAAACUAUAGAUUUGAAAUAUGUUUCAGUGGUUUUGAUAAUUCUGAAAACACUUUCUGAUGCUAAUUCUAAGCCUCCUCUGUUCUUUAUUCUUGUUAAAGUUUUGAACGAUUCAUUCUCUAUAUUACAAUAAUUAUGUUCUUGCACAUAUGAAGCAUCUGUUACAGCUUUGAUGCAGUUUUCACAUUGAGAACAAUGAAUCUUCAUGAGAGGUCAGUAAGGAACAAUUUCCAGUUGAUUGUUUAAUUGAAAUGUGCAGCAAAAUACUUCUUAAAGCGUACCUAAAUUGUAGACAGUUAGGAUUAUCAUUAUGUCCAAAACGUCCUCUUACAUGACCAAAAAACAACUCAAGAGCAUCUUGACUUAAUUUUUGCGAAACCAAGAAUAAAAGUUUUCCUCCGACUUUUCCAUAAAUCUACUCCAUCAACAGUUUUUAAAGAAUAUAAAUAUUUGAUUAACUCAGCCAUUCGAUUUUCCAGAUACUGCAGUGAAUCGGCUACAGAACUGCUCAAAGUUUGAACUGCCAACUUUACCUUCAUGCUGUUUGCAUUCCAGUUAAUGUGUGAUGUGCUCAACUUGUUAGCAAAUUUGAACCCAAUCUCACUUUGAAGUUUAUUAAGUUGUUCAAUGUAUCUCCAUUCUAUUAAGUUUCCAUCUUCAUCUUUGAAUGCCUUGAAUGUACCUAAAGCAUUUCUUGCCAACUUAAUAUUAUGACAAGCAUCUGGGGUAAAGUAAAUAUUUGGUGUAUUUGGAUCAAUAUUAAAAUCUGGUUUUAAAUGUUCAAAAGGUUGGUUCAAAUUACAUCCUAAUAUUUGGAAAGAACUAAAAUUGACGUAUGCACCAUCACAUGUAACACUUAACACAUUUAUACCAUAUUUUUGACAUUCUGACACUGCUAUACGAAUUAACUGGGCCUGUACUGAUGAUUUUACCUUAUCCACAAACCAAUAACCUAUAGGCCAUUUCCACGCUUUCUUUAAACUUGAUAACAUAAAUACCAAAACUUCAGAUGCUGGUUGUUCACAGUCUUCAAUUGUUACAUUAUUUCCGUAAUCACAAUAUCCAACAUAUCUUACCCAUUAUAUAAUAAGCAAAAUUAGUAUUUCAAAAUUUCUAAUACAAUAUAAAGUAAUAAAUAAUAAUGAAUACCUUUUACUAGCUUUAUCCCAAUGUACUUCUUUCUUUAUACUCAUAGAGUCUAAUAUCAAGCAACAGUAUUUAUCAACAUCUUCAAAUUUACCUAUUUCCAUUAACACAUCACUUAAAAAUCCAGUAUUUACAUUUACAUUUGACAACCAAUUUCUAAUUGCACUUGGAUUCGGCAAAUGUAUUGAAGACCUGAAUAUAUGAAAUAUGAAUAGUGUAUUGAAAUGAAUUGUCUAGAAUAUAAGUAUUUGAUAUAAUCAUCACUUAUUAGUUAUUACCUUACAAAAUCAUACGCUUUAGGUGAAUAAAAGUAAAGUGUAGUGGCAAAUUUCUUAACAUCUUCACUAUAACGUUUUCCUGAAGAUGGAACCUUACUAUUCCUAAUCAGAUCUUUUAGGAAAAUACUUGUAAAAUUUUUACCUAUUAUUUGUGUUGUCUCAGUAUCAGUUGAGAACUUUAUU